CAGAGACAAUGGAGGACAAGCCAGCACUAAACGAGCUCCUAACUCACGUAGACGUUGGUACAGAGUGGCUGAGACUAGGGGUACUACUGGAACUGGAUAUGAAAGAUCUAACCGCCAUAGAACAUGAGAGACCCACCAAAGACUACAGCACAUGUACGCCCUCUGGUUGAAGACCAAUCCUAACCUCGAUCCUAACGCUACAAGAGGACAACUGAUCAAAGCAUUAGGAGUCAUCAGAGCUAAUACUUUAGCUGAUAAAUACAAGAAAUGGAUCAGUAGUACUGGCAGAGCUACUGCUACUAGUAAAGACACUAAUACAAGAAGACACACUUCUUCAGUCAGUAAACAAUCUACAACUCAAUAAUCACUUGAUAUCACUGAUCUUCAAAAAGUGUUGAAUUUGUUGCAGAUGCUCAUUUCAACAGAGACUGCAGGGAGGAACUGGGUCUAGUACUAGGACUCUAUCAGGACCCAACACUCUCCAACUUACAAUGUACUCAUGAUAGGGAGGCUGCUCUUAGGGAGUGUCUUGCUGUCUGGUUGCAAAGAGCUGAUGGUGUGGAUAAAAAUGGAGGAGCUAACUAUGUAUCACUAGCUAAUGCUAUAGAGAGAUUGGGGCAAAGAGCUGGAGCUGAGGACAUACGAAGACAAUGUGGAAUUGAAGCGGCACAAGAGGAUGCCCUGUCAUUAUAAGACUGGAGGGAGGAGCCCAGUGACUCCAUUACUAGUACAGGAAGACAGUUACAUUGCAGCUAGAAGAAGAGAAACCAUCAAAGAAAGAAGAUGAAGAUGAAGGAGGAGGAUCUCUCAAUAUCUACUGCUGAGGCUCACGGUCAUUCAGUUAUUAUUGCUAAUGAUCCUGAUCCUGAUAGACUGGCCUUGGCGGAAAAACAACCGGGGAAUACUAAUGAGGGAGGGAGGGGCAACUGGUGAGUGUUUACUGGCAAUGAGAUUGGGAACAUGUUGGGCUGGUGGGCCAUGGAAAAUUUUAAGAAAAUUAACAAAAAUUUUGAUGGCUCUAAAGUCCAUUUAAUAUGCAGUAUAGUUUCAUCAAAAUUAUUAUGAUCAAUAGCUAAAGUUGAAGGGAUCCAAUUUUCAGAAACUCUUACUGGGUUCAAGUGGAUGGGUAACUUAGACCACACCCUCCUUGAGAAAGGAGAGGAGGUUCUCUUUGCUUUUGAAGAAGCAAUAGGAGUCAUGUUUGGUACUACAGUACUGGAUAAAGAUGGAGUGAGUGGAGCUGCUGUGACUGGAGAAAUGGCCGCUUACCUUUACUCUAAUGGAGAGACAUUCUCUUCACUGUUGGAAGACAUACAUUUAUUUAAAAUAUGGUCGAGUUGUCUCAAGCAAUUCUUAUUUUAUAUGUCACUCAAAAGAAACGAUAGAAGUCUUUGAUGGACUGAGAAAAGAUGGACAAUAUCCCAGUGCUUGUGGUCCAGCUGGUGACAAUAUAUUAAUAUUCAUUAUUAUUAUUAUUAUUAUUAUUAUUAUUAUUAUUAUUAUUAGUGUUGAUGAGUCCUCACUUAAAGAAACUAUCUCGUACUAUUGAUGAUAUUAUUAAUGAAUUCAUUAAACCAGAUUAUUAUAAUUUAUUAGUAUUAUAGAUCUAUUUAAUAAGAGAUGUUAUGUGAGUCUAUUGUAAUGUGUUUAGUGUUUAAUGUUA